AACGAACGCUGGCGGCAUGCCUAACACAUGCAAGUCGAACGAGACCUUCGGGUCUAGUGGCGCACGGGUGCGUAACGCGUGGGAACCUGCCCUUAGGUUCGGAAUAACUCCCCGAAAGGGGUGCUAAUACCGGAUAAUGUCUUCGGACCAAAGAUUUAUCGCCUUUGGAUGGGCCCGCGUUGGAUUAGCUAGUUGGUAGGGUAAAAGCCUACCAAGGCGACGAUCCAUAGCUGGUCUGAGAGGAUGAUCAGCCACACUGGGACUGAGACACGGCCCAGACUCCUACAGGAGGUAGCAGUGGGGAAUAUUGGACAAUGGGCGAAAGCCUGAUCCAGCAAUGCCGCGUGAGUGAUGAAGGCCUUAGGGUUGUAAAGCUCUUUUACCCGGGAUGAUAAUGACAGUACCGGGAGAAUAAGCUCCGGCUAACUCCGUG
rnacentral:rRNA from 1 species